rnacentral:rRNA from 1 species
UACAUGGGGUGCAAACGUUGCUCGGAAUCAUUGGGCGUAAAGCGCGCGUAGGCGGUUGCUUAAGUCGGAUGUGAAAGCCCUCGGCUUAACUGAGGAAGUGCAUCCGAAACUGAGCAGCUAGAGUACGAAAGAGGGUCGCGGAAUUCCCGGUGUAGAGGUGAAAUUCGUAGAUAUCGGGAGGAACACCGGUGGCGAAGGCGGCGACCUGGGUCGAGACUGACGCUGAGGCGCGAAAGCGUGGGGAGCGAACAGG